rnacentral:tRNA from 1 species
ACCUGGGUGGCUCAGUCGGUUGAGCAUCUGACUUGGGCUCAGGUCAUGAUCUCACUGCUCGUGAGUUCGAGCCCCGCAUCAGGCU